rnacentral:rRNA from 1 species
GAUGAACGCUGGCGGCGUGCCUAAUACAUGCAAGUCGAGCGAACGGACGAGAAGCUUGCUUCUCUGAUGUUAGCGGCGGACGGGUGGGUAACACGUGGAUAACCUACCUAUAAGACUGGGAUAACUUCGGGAAACCGGAGCUAAUACCGGAUGAUAUUUUGAACCGCAUGGUUCAAAAGUGAAAGACGGUCUUGCUGUCACUUAUAGAUGGAUCCGCGCUGCAUUAGCUAGUUGGUAAGGUAACGGCUUACCAAGGCAACGAUGCAUAGCCGACCUGAGAGGGUGAUCGGCCACACUGGAACUGAGACACGGUCCAGACUCCUACGGGAGGCAGCAGUAGGGAAUCUUCCGCAAUGGGCGAAAGCCUGACGGAGCAACGCCGCGUGAGUGAUGAAGGUCUUCGGAUCGUAAAACUCUGUUAUUAGGGAAGAACAUAUGUGUAAGUAACUGUGCACAUCUUGACGGUACCUAAUCAGAAAGCCACGGCUAACUACAUG